UCUUUCAACUGUAGUUUGAGAUAGCUUGGGGGGCGAACAUUUGUUUGAUUUUAGAGUAUUCACAGGGAUUGGCUGAUCAGCUGUAGGGUUUUAUUAGUGACAUAUUUGAGAAAUUUGUGCAGCUUGGGUAAUAUAUAGGAUACAUUCCCUGUAAUUACUACUAAUUUAGUGUUUGAAUUAGACUUAUAAUAUGGAUUGGCCAUCAUGGUCAUGUUGUUAUUCAAUUUUAUUUCUUAAGUUCGGGUAUCUGUAAUUCUGCAUUGUUAGCUUUUGGUUGGGGCUUAUGGUUCAUGUGAUGUUAGAUAUUUUUUUAUUUUGUUUUUUUAAUCACCAGCUAUUGGUUUCAACAAAACAAAAAAAGAAAGGAACUAAGUAGCUCUAGGAAAGAAAAAGCUUGUGCGCUUGGAGUUUCAAGUGCUUCGGGUCCAACUGAGCUACUUCUCUUUGGAGUUUGGAAUAUGGCUUGGUCAUGUUUUACACAAUGUAUUGUCUAUAGCACUUAUGAAUAAUCUUUCAUGAUAAGUUUUAUAUAUUCAUUUUAUUGCUUAUGUCGUGUAUAGUUUCUUUGGAUUACAUUCAUUUCUGGUGUAUCAUGGCUUGUUUGUAUUCGACUGCUAAGUUAGUAAUGCAACUAUGUCACGGUCUCGAACUCGUAGGAGAGAUUCGGUCGAGUAGAGAAGGGAAGAGAUUGAGAGAGUUGGCUUGAGGAAGAAGAAGAAGAAGAAUAACAGAACAGAAUUGAACAGGAGAGAGAUGGAAUUGAAUUUGAGUAUGUUUGAUUACAUGAUUCGAUCCCCUUCCUCUCAAUCCUGCUGGCUAAUAUAGCAUCGCACUACACAGCCUCUCUCACUCACUGACAGUGGCCCAGCCAAUCACUACUAGGUCCACACACUUACAGGGAAACGGGAGUUGGCUGCUUCUCCCUUCUGGGCCGAUUCACAGGCUGGGCCGCUGGCUUCUGCUUUGAACUCCCUGCUACAGAUGUUGCCGCUGUGACAUCCCCUCCUCCUUCAGUUGAAGCUUGUCCCCAAGCUUCAGAGUCAGGAAAACGAUGACGAAGUUCUUGAGCAUUUUCCCAAGUGACCACAUGCGGAUCAUCUACAGACCACCGAACCAGCAACUGCUCCACCAUCUUGGAUCCUUUCCGAAUGAAGCGACGAUCCAGCACUUGCGAUGGAACAACUGACGUACCAGCAGUGGACUGAAUUCUGGGCAAUUGAGAAUACACCACCUCACUUGGCACCAAUGCUUUCUUAAGCUGUGAGACAUGGACCACCGGGUGUAUAAGACUGGUAGCUGGUAAAGCCAAUUUGUAAGCCACUUCACCAACUCGAGAGAGCACCUGAAAAGGACCAUAAAAACGAAAAGCCAACUUGCGAUUAGCACGAGUGACCACUGACUGCUGCACAACCGGCUGUAAUUUGAGAUAAACCCAGUCGCUGACAACAAAUGUUCUUUCAGAGCGAUGUUGAUCAGCCUGAAAUUUCAUACGAGCUUGAGCACGCAACAAAUGAUCCCGAAUCAAACUCUGAAUCUGCUCCCUUUCAUGUAACCAGUCAGCUAACUCAGUCGACUGACAAGCUGCAUUUGCUGACAAACCAAAAUACCGUGGCUUAUGUCCAUAUAAUACUUCAAAUGGAGUGGUCCCCAAGGCUGAAUGGAAGGAAGUAUUAUACCAAUACUCCGCUAGAGCCAGCCAUCGACUCCACUGAGAAGGACAAGCAUGCACAAAGCAGCGAAGGAAAGUCUCAAGACAUUGAUUCACACGCUCCGUUUGUCCAUCAGUCUGAGGAUGAUAAGAAGAACUCAACCGGAGUUGUGUACCAGCCAACUUGAAUAGAGUAGCCCACAGGGUGCUUGUGAAAAUCCUAUCACGAUCAGAGAUGAGUGACUAAGGUAAUCCAUGCAAUUUAUGAAUAAACUGCAUAUAAGCUUCGGCCACAUCCAUAGCUGUGAAAGGGUGAGCAAGAGGAACAAAAUGGCUAUACUUGGAAAACUUGUCGACUACCACCAGGAUACAAUUAAAGGUAGCUGACUUUGGUAAGCCUUCAAUAAAAUCCAAAGAAACAACUUGCCAAGCAUGGUCAGGUACAGGCAGUGGUUGCAACAUUCCCGGAUACUUGACAUGUUCUGAUUUGGCUUGUUGACAAACAGAGCAAGCAGUAACAAACUGCAUAACUGUAGUGCGCAAUUGAGGCCAAGCAAACAGUUGUUUCACCCUUUGGUGUAUAACGGUAGGGACGCACAUUGACUGGAGUAGCUCCUGGCAUGGGUGGAAUUGUAUGAUCAAAAACCCUGGACGGUGGUAAUCCAGAAGGUUCUUCAAACACCUGUCCAAAUUCUGCUAGCACUUGUUGAAUUUCCACAGGAAUUUGCUCCUUGUUUGAAGAUUCUGACAGAGUGCACAACUGAAUCAGGUGAGAGAUGGCCUGUCUAUCCUUCAACUCCAAAAACUGUUGAGAAGAGAGUUGAGAACACUGUUCAGUUUCUGACAAAAUUCCCUGUAAUGUAAUGGAUUCCUUUCUCCAGGAAACUGUCAAGAGCUUGUUAACCCAAUCGACCUGCAUAGGACUAUGAGCCAUCAACCAGUCCAUGCCUAAAAUCAUGUCAUAACUUCCCAGAUUUAACACCUUUAAGUCAGUAUAAAACACCCAUCCUUGGGUCAUCCAUUCACACCUUGGUACUGAAGUAAGACAAGUAAGUAUGGAACCGUUUGCUACUUUCACUUGUACUGGUGGUUCAAGAGUUACAACUCCUUGCAAGGUUUGAGCAAUCUUAGAGCUAAUAAAACUUGCUGUACUACCUGAAUCCACCAAUAUAAGCACUUCUUUACCCUGAACAUAUCCCAACAUUCUCAUACAGCCCACUGUUUCAAAGCCAUUUAUAGCCUGAACUGAAAUUGACAUCAAUCCAGGACUGUCCAGACCAUCACUUUCGUCAGAAAUACCCUGAUCAGAGAGCAAAUCGGAUUGCAAAACUGUGAGCAAUUCUUGAACUGCAUGCAGUUGUAUAGUGUUUGCACACUUAUGGAUUGGAGACCACUUCUCUGCACAUAUGUAACAUAACCCCUGAGCUCUACGCUGAGCCUUCAGUGUAGAAAUUUUAUCAUUACUGGUACCAGUCUUGGUAUUGUCAAGAAACUUACGAUCCUCUGAUCGAUUCAAAACACCAGAGCCACUUCCAAGGUUUGGAGGUAAGGGUAAUGGUAAUGCUCCUUUGAAUGCGACAUUUGGCCGAAUCUGCAAAUUUCCACCAUCACUUUUCUUCAGAUUUGGAACUGACACUGUCAUUGUCUCAGAAAUCACUUCUUCUUGCAACAUUGCUACUGCCAAAGCAUUCUCCAAAUCUUUAGGACGUUGCAGCAGCACUGCAUUCCUGAUUUCUUGACGCAGUCCCUCAGUAAAACGAUGUGUUAGAUAUCGCAUAUUCAAAACAGGAUCAUAUGUCAGCAAUUGAUUCAUUAAUUCAUCAAAUCUCUCAUAAUAUUCCCAAACUGUUCCUGUCUGCUUAAUACUAUCCAUCUGUCUAAUGAGAGUUUCAUGUUGGUCCCUAUCAAAUUUGUGUGACACAGCAAUACAAAAAUUCUCCCACACAGGAAAUCUAACAUGAGCCUUAGAAGACCGUAACCAGGAAGCUGCCCUAUCCAAAAAAUAAAUUGUGGCUAUUCUAACCCACAACCCUGGAAAAGUAUUAUUCACAUCAAAAUAAUGUUCACAUCUCAUUUUCCAAUCCUCUGGGUCUGUUCCAUCAAACUUAGGGAAAUCUAACUUGGGAACCCUGUGAUUAUACUGACGCCCAAACUGAUCCCCAUCAAAUUCCCCACCCCCCAACUCAAAUUGAUCAAAAUUUUUCAGAGAUGUGGAAGGAGAUUCAUACGCACCCUUGACCGGAGUCGGGCCUAGGGUUGCGUUCAUCCCCAGUACCCUUCCCCGGUGUUCAUGAGCUUGCAGUCGGCCACUGGCCAAUUUGUUUCCGCCUUCCGCCGCGGCAGCUUGAGAUGAAGUUGGCGGCGUAGGCAGCAGUGGCGCCUUCCUUUCCUCGUCCGUCAACGGAACUCGAGGGGAAGACGUCGCCGGAGAAGCCUGCUUCAUUUUGCCGACGAGAUCCAGUUGCUGACGAAGGUCGCCGACUUCCUCACGCAACUCCUGAACUGCUGCUUCUACUUGAGGUCUCCAACUGCUCACUUCGCGAUCUAGCUUGACGACCGCUGCUUGAGUUUCGCCUUGAGCACGAUUCAGCCUCACCAAGGACUCCUAGAUCUCCAUCAACACCUUGCCGAAAUCAAUGUUCUGCUUCUCCAUCGCUUCGACUUGAAGUUGCAAACGGGAAGUAUAUCGUGGCUUCUCCAGGAUCGAAAUUGCUCUGAUACCAAAUUGUCACGGUCUCGAACUCGUAGGAGAGAUUCGGUCGAGUAGAGAAGGGAAGAGAUUGAGAGAGUUGGCUUGAGGAAGAAGAAGAAGAAGAACAGAACAGAAUUGAACAGGAGAGAGAUGGAAUUGAAUUUGAGUAUGUUUGAUUACAUGAUUCGAUCCCCUUCCUCUCAAUCCUGCCGGCUUAUAUAGCAUCGCACUACACAGCCUCUCUCACUCACUGACAGUGGCCCAGCCAAUCACUACUGGGUCCACACACUCGCAGGGAAACGGGAGUUGGGCUGCUUCUCCCUUCUGGGCCGAUUCACAGGCUGGGCCGCUGGCUUCUGCUUUGAACUCCCUGCUACAGAUGUUGCCGCCGUGACAAACUACAGGCUAUGACCCAUUUGACUAAGGUGGAGUUUAUUUUCCUUUUCUUUGAGAGGAUUGGCAGAAAUUUUCUCCUUUGGUUCACCGGGUACUAACGGAUGGACACUGCUAUUGUUUAUUCUCUUUGGUUUUAUCCUUUUGAUCUUAUAGCAUUAGUAGAUUUCAGUUUGUACGCAGCAAACACCAGUGAAGGUGAUUUUUGCUACUAGCAUAGUAGCAAAUAGUUGAAAGAUAAAUGUAUGGAUGUAAUUUAUCACGUGCAGCCUUUUUGUAA